UACCCGCUCCCCGAGUGGUCGGGACGUUUAUUGGGCCUAAAGCAUCCGUAGCCGGCCCGGUAGGUCCCUCGUUAAACUCAGCGGCUCAACCGCUGAGCCGCGGGGGAUACCGCCGGGCUAGGAGGCGGGAGAGGCGGACGGUACUCCGUGGGUAGGGGUAAAAUCCUCUGAUCCACGGAAGACCACCAGUGGCGAAGGCGGUCCGCCAGAACGCGCUCGACGGUGAGGGAUGAAAGCUGGGGGAGCGAACCGGAUUAGAUACCCGGGUAGUCCCAGCCGUAAACGAUGCGGGCUAGGUGCUGGGAUGGCUACGGGCCAUCCCAGUGCCGCAGGGAAGCCGUUAAGCCCGCCGCCUGGGGAGUACGGCCGCAAGGCUGAAACUUAAAGGAAUUGGCGGGGGAGCACCACAAGGGGUGAAGCCUGCGGUUUAAUUGGAGUCAACGCCGGGAACCUUACCGGGGGAGACAGCAGGAUGAAGGUCAAGCUAAAGACUUUACCAGACGAGCUGAGAGGAGGUGCAUGGCCGUCGCCAGCUCGUGCCGUGAGGUGUCCUGUUAAGUCAGGCAACGAGCGAGACCCCUGCCGCUAAUUGCUACCAUCACCCUUCGGGGUGGUGGGGCUAGUUAGCGGGACUGCCGUCGCUAAGACGGAGGAAGGAGGGGGCCACGGCAGGUCAGUAUGCCCCGAAACCCCCGGGCCACACGCGGGCUGCAAUGGUAGGGACAAUGGGAUCCGACCCCGAAAGGGGGAGGCAAUCCCCAAACCCUACCCCAGUUGUGACUGAGGGCUGCAACCCGCCCUCACGAAUCUGGAAUCCCUAGUAACCGCGUGUCAUCACCGCGCGGUGAAUACGUCCCUGCUCC
rnacentral:rRNA from 1 species